GAUGAACGCUGGCGGCGUGCCUAAUACAUGCAAGUCGAGCGAACGGACGAGAAGCUUGCUUCUCUGAUGUUAGCGGCGGACGGGUGAGUAACACGUGGAUAACCUACCUAUAAGACUGGGAUAACUUCGGGAAACCGGAGCUAAUACCGGAUAAUAUUUUGAACCGCAUGGUUCAAAAGUGAAAGACGGUCUUGCUGUCACUUAUAGAUGGAUCCGCGCUGCAUUAGCUAGUUGGUAAGGUAACGGCUUACCAAGGCAACGAUCAGUAGCCGGUCUGAGAGGAUGAACGGCCACAUUGGAACUGAGACACGGUCCAAACUCCUACGGGAGGCAGCAGUGGGGAAUACUGCACAAUGGGGGGAACCCUGAUGCAGCGACGCCGCGUGAGCGAAGAAGGUUUUCGAAUCGUAAAGCUCUGUCCUAUGAGAAGAUAAUGACGGUAUCAUAGGAGGAAGCCCCGGCUAAAUACGUGCCAGCAGCCGCGGUAAUACGUAUGGGGCGAGCGUUGUCCGGAAUUAUUGGGCGUAAAGGGUACGUAGGCGGUUUCUUAAGUCAGGUGUGAAAGCGUGAGGCUUAACCUCAUUAAGCACUUGAAACUGGAAGACUUGAGUGAAGGAGAGGAAAGUGGAAUUCCUAGUGUAGCGGUGAAAUGCGUAGAUAUUAGGAGGAAUACCGGUGGCGAAGGCGACUUUCUGGACUUUUACUGACGCUCAAGGUAGAAAGCGUGGGGAGCAAACAGG
rnacentral:rRNA from 1 species